rnacentral:rRNA from 1 species
UGCGGGGGGGGCAAGCGUUGUUCGGAAUUACUGGGCGUAAAGCGUGCGCAGGCGGCGCGUUAAGACAGGUGUGAAAGCCCCGAGCUUAACUUGGGAAUUGCGCUUGUGACUGGCGAGCUGGAGUGUGGCAGAGGGAGGUGGAAUUCCACGUGUAGCAGUGAAAUGCGUAGAGAUGUGGAGGAACACCGAUGGCGAAGGCAGCCUCCUGGGCCAGCACUGACGCUCAUGCACGAAAGCGUGGGGAGCAAACAGG